UUGUUGAAAUAAAAAAAAUGUUUUCAAAUUAUAAUUAGUUAUGCUGGCGCUAUUUAUUGCAAGAACUACUGAGAUCAAAUUGAAGUGUUUGGGCAAAAGAAACCUGUGUAAAUGAAUUACUGAGUAAAAGAUAUCAUGUGUUAUCGGAUGCCUGUGUAAUAGAAAUUCUGUAUAAUUGGAACUCUGGGUAAAAGAUGCACUGAUCAUAGAAAUCUGGGCAAACGAAUUCUGGAGUAUCGAGUGGUGUCCAAAUGAUUAGUACAUUCUCUGUACAAAUUUAAAAAAAGGAAUUAUACAAAUAUUUACAAUAUUUGUAAUAAAACAUAAAAAAUUUAAUUUCAAGUACACUGAAGGAAGUGGUGGAAUAGAAAAAGUUAUUUGGGGACCUGAUUGUAAAUAAAUAAUUAUUAUUUCUGAUUCAAAUAUUUACCUGUCAAUAAUAACAUUGACUAAGCAAACAAUAACCCACAUGUGGAAUAUUAAAUCAUUAGCUAAAUUUUUGGCCAUAAAUAACAAAACAGAAUGCUUAGCAAUUAUUUUAACAACAGAUGAAAUAGAAAUAUAUUAAGGAGUGGAAAUCAUCAUAUAGAUUGAUCUGCGAUAAAUUAUUCAGCAUUGACGGGGUAUCAUGGUCACCCAAUGGAGAAUUACUGGCUAAUUGGUGUUCAAUAAUUGAAAAAUCCCGAAUAGUAAUAUAUCUUAAUAUAUCUAUAUAUCUUAAUAGUCUUAUCAAUGGAGUGUAAAAAAUCUCCAAUUACAGUCACGGUUUAAAAUACACUAGCGCCUCUGGCGGAAUUUUUUUGAACUUUAAAUAUUGGCGAAAAAAUUUUCAAUGACAGCUUUUAUUUCUUCAGAGAACAUAAGGAUGAAAUUUUGUGAAGAAAUACAAAAAAGAAGAUGAUAUUUGUGUAUAUAUAUUUAUUAUUUUUUAUUAAUAUAAUAAAUUGUGUAUAGUAAAUUAUUUUUCUUACAAACUAAUUGUGGGGAAGCGAUAAAAUAGGAACUGUGAUCGCCUGUCGUAUACUCUACUUAUUUUUUUUUAUUUUAAAUAUAUAUUUAUUUAAAACAUCUGUCUAUAUUCUUCAUAAAUAGUUUUUUUCUUUCUUCUUGUUAAAUAUUGUGAAUUUUAACCAAAAAUUUAAAUUGAUAAUAGUUAUAGUUAAUAAUAAUUACAAGUUUUGCAUACAAACAGGCCGUUAAAGGCACCCGGCCCUGGUUCACGAGCUCCCAAUCAAGCAAGGGCCCUCUUAAUCUAUUUUUAAUAAUAAUAUUUAUUUAAGUAAAUUACUUAUAACCCCACAAUCGACAAUAAAUCUAAUACACAGUAAUUGCAACAAAUUAUUAAUUAUUAAACGCUGCACUAUUUUUCUUCUUUAGUUAAUAAUAAAUAUUUCAGUUCAGUU